rnacentral:rRNA from 1 species
UACGUAGGGGGCAAGCGUUGUCCGGAAUCAUUGGGCGUAAAGAGCGUGUAGGCGGUCCGGUCAGUCGGUUGUGAAAGUCAAGGGCUCAACCCUUGAAUGCCGGCCGAUACUGCCGGGCUAGAGUCCGGAAGAGGUGAGUGGAAUUCCUGUGUAGCGGUGAAAUGCGCAGAUAUCAGGAGGAACACCGAUGGCGAAGGCAGCUCACUGGGACGGUACUGACGCUGAGACGCGAAAGCGUGGGGAGCAAACAGG